GUUGACCCGCUCCUUAAUGAUCUUGAAGAUCAGGUCCUGCUUCUUGAGGGAGACGUAGUCCGUGACGCCUUCCUCGUUGGCGACGGCGUGCAACUCCGGGAUGCCCAUCUUCUGGAGGU
rnacentral:rRNA from 1 species